rnacentral:rRNA from 1 species
UCUUUACUGUAGUUAUUUAGCAUUAGUUUAGAUGGUUUGUAAAAAUAUGUUAAUGAAGCUGGGGUUUUAUUGGGGUGAUAGGAAGAUAAGAGUAACUCUUUUUGGUGUAUUAUCAUUGAUUUAUGAAUUUUUGAUCCGUUAAAAGCGAUUAUAAGACUAAGU